rnacentral:piRNA from 1 species
UGGUCUACUUCCUGACCUACUGGCUUC